UGACGGUACCUGACUAAGAAGCCCCGGCUAACUACGUGCCAGCAGCCGCGGUAAUACGUAGGGGGCAAGCGUUAUCCGGAAUGAUUGGGCGUAAAGGGUGCGUAGGUGGCAGAUCAAGUCUGGAGUAAAAGGUAUGGGCUCAACCCGUACUUGCUCUGGAAACUGAUCAGCUAGAGAACAGAAGAGGACGGCGGAACUCCAUGUGUAGCGGUAAAAUGCGUAGAUAUAUGGAAGAACACCGGUGGCGAAGGCGGCCGUCUGGUCUGGAUUCUGACACUGAAGCACGAAAGCGUGGGGAGCAAAUAGGAUUAGAUACCCUAGUAGUCCACGCCGUAAACGAUGAGAACUAGGUGUUGGGGGAAUAACUCAGUGCCGCAGUUAACGCAAUAAGUUCUCCGCCUGGGGAGUAUGCACGCAAGUGUGAAACUCAAAGGAAUUGACGGGGGCCCGCACAAGCGGUGGAGUAUGUGGUUUAAUUCGAAGCAACGCGAAGAACCUUACCAGGCCUUGACAUCCCUUGCAGAGGUAUAGAGAUAUAUCCGAGGUUAUCAAGGAGACAGGUGGUGCAUGGUUGUCGUCAGCUCGUGUCGUGAGAUGUUGGGUUAAGUCCCGCAACGAGCGCAACCCUUGUGAUAUGUUACUAACAUUGAGUUGAGGACUCAUAUCAGACUGCCGGUGAUAAACCGGAGGAAGGUGGGGAUGACGUCAAAUCAUCAUGCCCCUUAUGGCCUGGGCUACACACGUACUACAAUGGCGUCUACAAAGAGCGGCAAGCCUGUGAAGGCAAGCGAAUCUCAUAAAGGACGUCCCAGUUCGGAUUGAAGUCUGCAACCCGACUUCAUGAAGCUGGAAUCGCUAGUAAUCGCGAAUCAGCAUGUCGCGGUGAAUACGUUCUCGGGCCUUGCACUCACCGCCCGUCAA
rnacentral:rRNA from 1 species